GAAAGGAAGAAAAGCUUGGUUUUGUAAUUCAAGCAAGCUAAGCUUGAUGAUUAAUGUUUUGAAGGAAUAUUGGAGUGCAAGUACGGGUCAAGCAACCAUAAAGGAAGUGCAACAGUAAAGGUAGCUAUUAUGGUGGUGUGCUCGGGGAAAUAACAAGCGACCGACAAGUAGGAAUAUCUAGAUAUGC